GGUUCCGGCUGCGUGCCAGCAGCCCUUCAUUUCACCGGGCGGCCCUGGGACCGCGGGCUCUUGGGGACGCGCGAGACAGAGGCUGAGGCGCAUGCUCUGAGACCGUAUUUAUUGGCUCCUUAGAAAUCAGUCGCAGAAAGGCCCUUUCCUGGAGGGUUGUUCAUGGCUGGAGCAAGAGGAGCCGGGAACAAGGAAGCAGGGCACACCUGGACUAGCAGCUGGGGCACCAGAGGCUGGCUGAUGACAACGAUGCCCUGAUUAUAGCUGGCCACCCGUGUAGCUGUACGGUUUCCAUUGGACAAGAGGAUAUUCUUCCCAUGGUUCUCCAGGAACUCAAAGGCUGCAGGCAUAAUACCAACUGGAUUCUGGCCCUGGUGUGGAAGAAGAGACGAUGCUGCAUGAGGGGCCAAUGGCAGGCCUGAUCCACCCCACUGGAGCACACACAGAACUCAAGUGUGAGCCUCUGCCCUGCAAUUGGAGAAUCUGGUGUCCAAUGGCCAUUAACUGGCCAGCAGCCCCUGCUAUAGCCUCUUACGCCCAGGCCAUGAUCCUCGCCCUCGUCAUCCUCCUCGCCUUCACUGCCGGUGUCUGAGCUGGGGGAAGGAGGUUGGGUGCCUUCUGGCUCCUCCAGCCUUGUGGAACUGACAAUGGACACACUGCGUACUGGCCCAUAUAGAUCCAAUACAGCCCACACGUUCUAGAAAUAUAAGACUCAGAAAGUCAGAGAUCAGCACAAAGCUUCCACCCCAGAGCCCACUCUCAGGACCCAAGGAAGCUAUUAGGUGUACCUUGGCAAUGCCAGUGGCUGCAGGCCCCAUAUCCUCUCCAUCUACCAGGAUGUGCAUUGUGUCAUCUGCUCCUCGACGAAUGCCUACACGGCUACCCACCUAGGUCCAACGUGGGAAAAAGAAAUGCUCAGCCCACCUCUCUCUGACACUCCAUUCCCAACCCCUCACCAGCUGCUCCAGAGUCAGGUGCUUCACCCCAAGUCUCUCUAGAUUCCGGCCAUAGUUCAUCCUCUGGAGCUGCCCAUCACGCCUCACUUCACAGCUGGAGACCAUCCAGGUAGUCUUAGUCCGGAGCUCUGGCAGGGAAGGAGGCAGCCCUGGGCCACUGCCUGCUCCAGGUCCCAUUUCCCCUGGUGCCAGGGUGGUCAGUCCCAGCCGGAGGGAACCUGCCCAUUUCUCAUCUAGCUCUUCCACUUUUACCU